ACCACCAUCAUCAAAGAAGAGCAUCUUCUAUAUUUGUGUGUGUGUGUGUGUGUGUGUGUGUGUAUGAUACAGUUGGAGCUACAUAUAUUUAAAAAAAAAUAAAAUGGCGCAGAAGUACAACUCAAGCUGGAGGAGAAGGUGAAGAGCCAGCAAAAUACUUGCAAAAGAUACAGAAGAAAGGACACACAAGGACAGGAAAAUAGAGAAGCAACAAACUGGAGGUCAGAUGAUUGCAGCACCGAGCAAGUGACCAGAUCUGCUAAUUUGGAAGACUCUUCAAACACAAAUGUGUGUAACAUCAAAGCCGUCAA